rnacentral:rRNA from 1 species
UACGGAGGGUGCGAGCGUUAAUCGGAAUCACUGGGCGUAAAGCGUGCGUAGGCUGCGUGGCAAGUCAGACGUGAAAGCCCUCGGCUCAACCGAGGAAUUGCGUUUGAAACUGCCAUGCUAGAGUCUCGGAGAGGUUGGCGGAAUUCCAGGUGUAGGAGUGAAAUCCGUAGAUAUCUGGAGGAACACCGGCGGCGAAGGCGGCCAACUGGACGAGUACUGACGCUGAGGUACGAAAGCGUGGGUAGCAAACAGGAUUAGAUACCCGGGUAGU